AGCACCAAGUUGACCCUCUUCAGGAAGAAAUGUCCCUGCAUCAGCAGAAAAGCAGUUCCAGAAUGCGGGGAGGAGUCUCCAAUCUUAGCACUGCUGGCGGAUCCCCUUACCUUCCACCUACCGCCUGUGAGCAUCCGAUGACGUCGUGCGCGCACUUGCACCAUGACCUCGGAGAAUCAAAGAGCUCCCGCGCUGAGGCCUGGAACUCUUUAACCUGAAUUCAUCUGAAUGGCCCUUGCCACGGAGGUGCCCCACCUGUAAGUAUUUGUUGGUACUCCCGGUGCUCCGAGGGACUUGAUCUGUGACGGCUCCAGGGGAUCCUUCUCUCCAUCACUCCUGCUGCCCCCUC
rnacentral:lncRNA from 1 species